CUUCUUCAUUCUUCACAAAUCUCUUUCGUCCAUCACUGUUAAACCCUAGAUCUUCUUCUUCUUUCUCAAAAUCUUUCAAUGGCGUCCGCAGAUGUUGAGUUCCGGUGCUUCGUUGGAGGUCUAGGCUGGGCCACCGAUGACAGAGCUCUUGAGACAGCCUUCUCUCAAUACGGCGACGUUGUUGAUUCCAAGGUCUGUUACACGCCGAAAUCGGACUCCGAGUGAUCAUCCUCGACGGAUCAAUUCCGAUCUUGUGUUUCUCUGUUACUUGAUUCGAUUACUCUGUUACUAUUCGUUCGUUCUUUGUUACUACUACUACUGUUACUUGUUUUUUCUCUAAUUGGUACGUUCAUCUUCCUGCUUCUAUGAGCCCGGAGAUCGAUCGGUUUUUUAAAUCUGUUUCUUCUGUAGAUCUCAUUUCUGUUUUUUUUUAUGAACUUUGUUGGAUUGUGUUGCUGAUUUUGAUUUUGUUUACUGUUGUGUUGAACUAAACAACGAUCGUGAGACCGGAAGAUCAAGGGGAUUCGGAUUCGUUACCUUCAAGGAUGAGAAAUCCAUGAAGGAUGCGAUCGAGGGAAUGAACGGACAAGAUCGAUGGUCGUAGCAUCACACCAGACCAAGAGAAUAAAUAGUGUCACUCUCGGAUCUCUUUAUAAAUUGGUGACACCGCCCUCAAAAUCCCCCAACCUUCGUUGUCUCUCUCUCUCUCUCUCAAAUCUCAAUGUCGCUCCGGUCAUGUCAAUCGCAGAAAAACGUAAAGUCGUCAGAAGUCCAAUACCACGAGGAAUACAUAAGAAAUGCGAGAGGUGUUGAAUUGUUCGCUUGUAGAUGGAUCCCUUCAUCUUCUUCUCCCAAAGCUCUCGUUUUCCUCUGCCAUGGUUACGGUAUGUAGUGUAGCGACUUCAUGAAAGGUAUUUAAGAAGACUAAUACCAAUUUAAAAACCUCAGCGGCGACGGUGGUGGUUACAACAGCGGAGGCGGUGGCGGAGGAUACGGUGGAGGAAGACGCGAGGGAGGAUACAGCGGCGGUGGUGGCGGAGGAUACGGUGGUGGUGAAGGAGGAUGUUAAGAGGAGGAUGGUAAUUCCUUUAAUUAGAUCGGGGAUUAUUCUGAAAACUCUCUUUAUCACUCUCUCUCUCUCUCUCUCGUUAUGCCGAUAGUUUCCGUUGAUCAUAAUCUUCAUCAAUCGGAUCAGCUCCUUCUUUUCUUAUUUUUUUCAAUGAUUGCUUCUGUUUCGUUGUGUUUGGUUCCUAUCGUCUCUUUCAGUUUGACUGAUAUGGCUGAAUUAUCGACAUAAACGGCUGACUGACUUAUGAAAUAUUUGUAAAUUAUAAUUAUUAUAACUCAAAAUUAAAAUA